AUCAUGCAGAGGUAGUACAUGUUCUUGAAUGUGAGCUACCUUAAAGUGAUCUGAUGUUGUACAGAACUCACUGCUGAGUUAAGCAUGGUUAUAGAUCAUAUUCAUACAGAGGUAAUACAUGUUCUUGAAUGUGAGCUAGUACAUGUUCUUGAAUGUGAGCUACCUUAAAGUGAUCUGAUGCUGUACAGAACUCACUGCUGAGUUAAGCAUGGUUAUAGAUCAUAUUCAUACAGAGGUAAUACAUGUUCUUGAAUGUGAGCUACCUUAAAGUGAUCUGAUGUUGUACAGAACUCACUGCUGAAUUGAGCAUUGUUAUAGAUGAGAUCAUAUUCAUACAGAGGUAGAACAUGUUCUUGAAUGUGGACUAUUUUAAAAUGAUCUGACGUUGUACAAAACUCACUGCUGAAUUAAGCAUUGUUAGAUCAUACAGAGGUGGUACAUGUUCUUGAAUGUGAGCUACCUUUAAGUGAUCUGAUGUUGUACGGAACUCACUGCUGAAUUAAGCAUGGUUAGGUCACACAGAGGUAGUACAUGUUCUUGAAUGUGAGCUACCUUAAAGUGAUCUGAUGUUGUACAGAACUCACUGCUGAGUUAAAUUAUGGUUAGAUCAUACAGAGGUGGUACAUGUUCUUGAAUGUGAGCUACCUUAAAGUGAUCUGAUGUUGUACAGAACUCACUGCUGAGUUAAACUAUGGUUAGAUCAUACAGAGGUGGUACAUGUUCUUGAAUAUGGAAAGUGAUCUGAUGUACAAAACUCAUCACUGCUGAGUUAAGCAUGGUUAGAUCAUACUGAGGUAGUCCAUGUGCUUGAACGUACUAUGUCAUCUGAUCCGUUUAGGUCACAAUUUCACUGUAAAGGUAAAAGAUAAAAGCAAUGAAUUUCUAAUCAAUAUGAAGAGAAAGAACUUGUUAAACUGUGAAAUAAGUUAGAUGUUACAGUUUAUUUUUAUCCUAUUUUUCACGUGUGAUAUAUAUCUACAUUAGAAAGCUAAAUUUUAACCUGAGUACAACCAGUUUAAAUUAAAACUUUUUCCUACUAUUUUUAACAUCUGCUCUUCCCACGCUUCUGGCGGUAUAAAUAUUAGUUUUUAUUUGGGGGAUUGUUCGACUUUGAGUCUUUGUUUCCAUCCAUAUAGCGCUCAGCGUGGGCUAAAGUUGAUUGGUUAAAUUUAACCGUUUUAAACUUAUUUAUAGAUAUUUUUCUGGUCCGUCCGCUACACUUGGCUCCAAGCCUUGCUGGCGUUAUUCCAGGCGGUCGGAAACUCUGGAAUGAGUCGUAAAAGAGUUUAGAAUGAGGAUGGAAGUCGUUGCGAAAAAAAACAUUUAUAUAUAAACAUCGUUUAUAUCUAUUUGUAGACAAUAAAGACUACUAUUCAUA